AACGAACGCUGGCGGCAUGCCUAACACAUGCAAGUCGAACGAGACCUUCGGGUCUAGUGGCGCACGGGUGCGUAACGCGUGGGAACCUGCCCUUAGCUUCGGAAUAACUCCCCGAAAGGGGUGCUAAUACCGGAUAAUGUCUUCGGACCAAAGAUUUAUCGCCUUUGGAUGGGCCCGCGUUGGAUUAGCUAGUUGGUAGGGUAAAAGCCUACCAAGGCGACGAUCCAUAGCUGGUCUGAGAGGAUGAUCAGCCACACUGGGACUGAGACACGGCCCAGACUCCUACGGGAGGCAGCAGUGGGGAAUAUUGGACAAUGGGCGAAAGCCUGAUCCAGCAAUGCCGCGUGAGUGAUGAAGGCCUUAGGGUUGUAAAGCUCUUUUACCCGGGAUGAUAAUGACAGUACCGGGAGAAUAAGCUCCGGCUAACUCCGUG
rnacentral:rRNA from 1 species